AAAAUGGCCAACCAUGCUGCUAUUAUGUUUUGUUAAAAUGCAUGGUACUAUGAUGAUUCUGUUGAAUGCAUACUGCUUGUAUGCAUGUUGCAGCAUUUGUGCAUGUUGCAGCAACAUAUUUUCUGUUUUAGUUGCAAUUUAAUUUAGUUUGGUUGAGAAUGAACUUUGAUGUUGAUGUUUUGAUGGGUUGGUUGAGCUGAUAAGUCAGCUUAUCCAUGUGUACAAGCAAUGUUUUUAAAGUUACUAGGCUACUUAGUGGUAUUAGGUAGUAAUAACUGAUGUAGUUGGCUAUAAAUGUAUUGUUUUUCUUAUUGAAAAAUUAAGCAUAUCAGUUGUAAGGCAGAUUGCUUCCUUGCUGCACGUUUGUGAGCAAGUAAAUUGUUUUUGUUUCU